CCUACGGGAGGCAGCAGUGAGGAAUAUUGGUCAAUGGCCGCAGGGCUGAACCAGCCAAGUCGCGUGAGGGAUGACGGUCCUAUGGAUUGUAAACCUCUUUUGUCAGGGAGCAAAUGGCGCCACGUGUGGCGCUUUGCGAGUACCUGAAGAAAAAGCAUUGGCUAACUCCGUGCCAGCAGCCGCGGUAAUACGGAGGAUGCGAGCGUUAUCCGGAUUUAUUGGGUUUAAAGGGUGCGCAGGCGGGAUGUCAAGUCAGCGGUAAAAUUUCGGGGCUCAACCCCGUCGUGCCGUUGAAACUGGCGUUCUUGAGUGAGCGAGAAGUAUGCGGAAUGCGUGGUGUAGCGGUGAAAUGCAUAGAUAUCACGCAGAACUCCGAUUGCGAAGGCAGCAUACCGGCGCUCAACUGACGCUCAUGCACGAAAGCGUGGGUAUCGAACAGGAUUAGAUACCCCGGUAGUC
rnacentral:rRNA from 1 species